UAAGAACAUCAAAUAUCGCAUUAUCGUACGACGCGGUGGUAUAUGCAAACAAUGACAUAUUUUCUUGACUUGUAUAAAUAGUUGUCAUUCAUAUUUUCAGCACCAAACUCUACACGAAUUCUCAAACUCUAGCCGCCAAAAGCUCUCUUUUCUCUCAAAUCAUCAAUAACACUCAUAGAUUCCAUGACUAUGAUUACCUUUGAAUUGUGGUACUCUUGCGAUUAUUAAAUUGUAAUGUGUGAAAUGUGAAACUAUAAUAAACAUGACUUUUGGCAAUGAUAAUUCUCAUUAAGGACUAACUUAGGAUGACGAAGGGAGGGGAGGUAAACAUGAGAGUUGAUAACUCAAUAUUUGGAUUAGAAAAUAUGGGGAAGUACAAUAUUAAAAGCUAAAUAACGGAGGUUAAUACAGUUGAGACUUCAUACGAGGUAAUUAAACUUUGGAGGUCCACUACUAUAUAACUCUAGUUUAAUUAUGACUAAUCACUUACAUGACUCUUGAAUUGUAUUGAGUGGGUCUAUGAAGACGCGAAUGUCCUUCCAAAAUUAUUGGUGUAGUGCUGAAUCUUGUCAUCAAAUAUUUGCGCACAAAUGUCGCAUAGGCUACAAGUGACGUCUAGGGGUGAGGCAGGUGAGACAGUUUUGAAAGUUAAGUAAUUUUAUUAUAAAUUAUGUGUUGCUGCUACAAGCUAUAGCUAGUAAAGAACAUGUCCCGCAAGAGUAAGCUUUAUUUUCCAUUAUAAAUUGGAUUCCAAAUACACAAUAAAUCUACUAGUUUGUUGGCAAAAUUAAUAAAUGGAAAGACUGGAUUUGUGAAUUUGGGAGCAGGAAGCAGUUAUUAAUGCAGGAGGGGCAGUUUGCUGGGUUGAGGCGUGGUGUUUUCCUAGUUGCUUGCAGUGUGGAUUUUUACUUUUUGUAGUAUCAACUUGUGGUCUUUGCUGGGUUUGGAGCUUUGAAGUUUUGGUGGGGUAGGUAUUGGUGUUAAUUUUACAAGUCAAUUAAUUAUUAGUCUCUUAAGAGGGAUUACAAAUUUUCAUACUAAAAAA